GUUCUAAGCAUUCUGAACAUGAAGUUACACCAAAAUCAAUAGCAUUGGUGAUUCUCUGACAAUUUUCCUUAAUGAUCAAGAAUGUCGUCACUUGUCAUCCAGAUCAUACAUAAGAUGAGAUGUUAAGGACUAUAGUCUGGGACAUGAGUGUUGAGGCAUCCUUUUGCAAACCAACUCACCCAACAGAAGCCAUAUAUAUCUCCUUAAACUAUGUUAUCAAACAGGUGGCUAUCUCUAAGUCUACAUACGUAAGUUCUCUCUAACUUGGUUAUUCGAAUUCUACCUAAGUUUGUAUCCAAUAGUUGCAGACCUAACAAAUGCAAUUGUCUCUGAUAUUUUAAUUCAUUGUAUUAUCACUAACCCAGGUCCACUAUAGUCAUACCUAUUCAAAAUCCUAUCCUGAUGUAAAGAGUAGGCUUUAUCAGAUUAUGAGACAAUCUGAUAAAGCUCCCACAAGUAGUUCUAAACAUAAUUCAAGAUGUAAACUUAUUAUUUAUUAAUUGCCACCAAAUUGAGUCCACACACCUGAAAAACAAAAAUGCAAAUUGCUGUCAAGUUUCAAAUAUUGUACUUACAAGCACAAGUAUGAUGUAUCUUAAAGAUAGGUUCAGAAAUAAAGAAAUCCAUUAAAUACACCACAUGGUACAUGCUAAGAAAUGAAGUACAG
rnacentral:misc_RNA from 1 species